UUGUUUUAUUAAAACUAUAAACGUCAAGUUUUUUUUUUCUUCCUUCAGCCUUCUUUCGUUUUUCUCUCUAUUGGAAUUCAAUUUCUAUGCUUCUCUGCUUCUCUCCAUCCACACGAUUCCCGGCCACCGCUCUAGUCUUUAUGCCGACAUUGGUCGCUGCACAUCGCCACGGUCGGAGUCAAUUUGAGCCCAAAACUUUCCCAACGUUUCCUCUCGGCCUCCUCGUCUCGAAAAUGAGCUUAGAUUUUUUGAAAAUGCUCCUCAAAUGCCACAGAUCUGAAAGUUUAUUUUAUGACUCCACCCUUCAUCGUUGUUCUGAUGGUAGCCAGCUUAAGAAUGGGCGAUUGUUCAACGAGAAAUCGAAAGUGGUGGUAGGACCUGGUCUCGGCAAUGGAUGGUUGUUGUGGUGGGGAAUGGUUUCCUGAAUUUUCUUUGUUUUGAGGUCUAAUUGUGGUUUGUGAUAGAGGCUGGAUCUCUUAUUGUGCUUGUCCCUGUUUUUUGGAUUGUUGUCUGAUUUUGGAUGCCUGUGUUGAUGAAAUUGCUGGGUUGGUGGGUGUGGAUCUUACAAUUCUGGAUUCCUAUAGUGUGUAGUUUUGCUAGUAAUUAUGUAUUGGGCUGACAAAUAGUGGCUUUUCCUGAUGGUGGAGAAUGAACUCUCGGAAGUUCUUCGUUAUAGGCUACAAUAAUUGGUGGAUGGCAGUUGUGGAAUUGUAGUUGUUAAUGGCUAGGGGCAACUUUGGUGAGCUUCGGGCUAUGGUAAUUUUGUUAUGUGUUGAUGAUUGGAGUUUUCUUUUCUGGAAGUUGGUUUUCUAGGAUUGAGAACUGGGAUGAUGGGUUUUCUCG